rnacentral:rRNA from 1 species
AACUUAGCAGAGAUGCUUUGGUGCCUUCGGGAACUCUGAGACAGGUGCUGCAUGGCUGUCGUCAGCUCGUGUUGUGAAAUGUUGGUUAAGUCCCGCAACGAGCGCAACCCCUAUCCUUUGUUGCCAGCGAUUCGGUCGGGAACUCAAAGGAGACUGCCGGUGAUAAACCGGAGGAAGGUGGGGAUGACGUCAAGUCAUCAUGGCCCUUACGAGUAGGGCUACACACGUGCUACAAUGGCGCAUACAAAGAGAAGCGACCUCGCGAGAGCAAGCGGACCUCAUAAAGUGCGUCGUAGUCCGGAUUGGAGUCUGCAACUCGACUCCAUGAAGUCGGAAUCGCUAGUAAUCGUAGAUCAGAAUGCUACGGUGAAUACGUUCCCGGGCCUUGUACACACCGCCCGUCACACCAUGGGAGUGGGUUGCAAAAGAAGUAGAUAGCUUAACCUUCGGGAGGGCGUUUACCACUUUGUGAUUCAUGACUGGGGUGAAGUCGUAACAAGGUAGGCGUAGCGAG